AUUGAACGCUGGCGGCAGGCCUAACACAUGCAAGUCGAACGAGUGGCGGACGGGUGAGUAAAGUCUGGGAAACUGCCCGAUGGAGGGGGAUAACUACUGGAAACGGUAGCUAAAAACGCAUACCAACGGAUGUGCCCAGAUGGGAUUGGCUUGUAGGUGAGGUAACGGCUCACCUAGGCGACGAUCCCUAGCUGGUCUGAGAGGAUGACCAGCGCCACUGGAACUUAGACACGGUCCAGACUCCUACGGGAGGCAGCAGUGGGGAAUAUUGCACGAUGGGCGCAAGCCUGAUGCAGCCAUGCCGCGUGUAUGAAGAAGGCCUUCGGGUUGUAAAGUACUUUAAGCGGGGAGGCGUUACCCGCAGAAGAAGCACCGGCUAACUCCGUGCCAGCCGCCGCGGUAAUUC
rnacentral:rRNA from 1 species